rnacentral:lncRNA from 1 species
GGAGGCAGCGUGCAGGGCUGGCGCUCACGCAGGCCGCCAGCACCCUGCGCUCCACCCCACCCUGCUCCCUAAUGAGAAGAGAGGAGCUGAACCCAGACAGCCGCUCCCUGUUGACGCCUUAGGCGUUUCAAAACUAGACUGGCCGGAGCCGAUGGAAUGUCUUGGGCCAUCCAUUUCUCUAAGACUCAAUGAUAUGUCCUAGAAGAUCUUUGGCCAAAUGUCAGACUUAUAUCUUACAGAUCCCAGAGUAGGGAGUAAGUACUACAGCUUCUAAAAUGCUCUCACUCACAUGCUUCAUCAAUGCAAAUGACAGUUCGAAAGACCAAGAGCUUUUGGAUUCUACUUGGACUUCUUUUGAAAGGAGACUUGGGCUCAUCCUGCUGGCCUCUGCCCUCUGCUAACCUCCCAGGACUCCUGACUGGGCCUAUGCUGGAUACCAACCAUACAAGAUGAAUGUCUUGCCAAGCUGGAUGUGGAAGUAUAUUUGGUCCUUUGAAGGUUAAUGAUCAAUCCAGACCACAAAUGGAUGACAGUCAAACA